rnacentral:rRNA from 1 species
GUUUGAUCAUGGCUCAGGACGAACGCUGGCGGCGUGCUUAACACAUGCAAGUCGAACGAAGAGCGAUGGAAGCUUGCUUCUAUCAAUCUUAGUGGCGAACGGGUGAGUAACGCGUAAUCAACCUGCCCUUCAGAGGGGGACAACAGUUGGAAACGACUGCUAAUACCGCAUACGAUCUAAUCUCGGCAUCGAGGAUAGAUGAAAGGUGGCCUCUAUUUAUAAGCUAUCACUGAAGGAGGGGAUUGCGUCUGAUUAGCUAGUUGGAGGGGUAACGGCCCACCAAGGCGAUGAUCAGUAGCCGGUCUGAGAGGAUGAACGGCCACAUUGGGACUGAGACACGGCCCAGACUCCUACGGGAGGCAGCAGUGGGGAAUCUUCCGCAAUGGACGAAAGUCUGACGGAGCAACGCCGCGUGAGUGAUGACGGCCUUCGGGUUGUAAAGCUCUGUUAAUCGGGACGAAAGGCCUUCUUGCGAAUAGUGAGAAGGAUUGACGGUACCGGAAUAGAAAGCCACGGCUAACUACGUGCCAGCAACCGCGGUAAUACGUAGGUGGCAAGCGUUGUCCGGAAUUAUUGGGCGUAAAGCGCGCGCAGGCGGAUAGGUCAGUCUGUCUUAAAAGUUCGGGGCUUAACCCCGUGAUGGGAUGGAAACUGCCAAUCUAGAGUAUCG